GUGCCAGCCGCCGCGGUAAUACAGAGGGGGCAAGCGUUAUUCGGAAUUAUUGGGCGUAAAGGGCGCGUAGGCGGCUUGGCAAGUGGAAGGUGAAAUCCCUCGGCUUAACCGAGGAACUGCCCUCCAAACUGCUUUGCUUGAGGCCGGGAGAGGUGAGUGGAAUUCCCAGUGUAGCGGUUAAAUGCGUAGAUAUUGGGAGGAACACCAGUGGCGAAGGCGGCUCACUGGACCGGUUCUGACGCUGAUGCACGAAAGCUGGGGGAGCAAACAGGAUUAGAUACCCUGGUAGUCCUAGCCCUAAACGAUGAUUGCUUGGUGUGUUGGGUACCCAAUCCCAACGUGCCGAAGCUAACGCGAUAAGCAAUCCGCCUGGGGAGUACGGUCGCAAGGCUAAAACUCAAAGGAAUUGACGG
rnacentral:rRNA from 1 species